AGCCCAACAGCUAGCCCACAAUACCACCCCAACAAACAACUAUUAAUACCCCUUAAUGACCUUAAGAUAAGACAAACCAAACCAUUUUUCCCCCUUAGUAUGGGCGACAGAAAAG
rnacentral:rRNA from 1 species